rnacentral:rRNA from 1 species
GAGUUUGAUCCUGGCUCAGAUUGAACGCUGGCGGCAGGCCUAACACAUGCAAGUCGAGCGGAUGACGGGAGCUUGCUCCUUGAUUCAGCGGCGGACGGGUGAGUAAUGCCUAGGAAUCUGCCUGGUAGUGGGGGACAACGUUUCGAAAGGAACGCUAAUACCGCAUACGUCCUACGGGAGAAAGCAGGGGACCUUCGGGCCUUGCGCUAUCAGAUGAGCCUAGGUCGGAUUAGCUAGUUGGUGGGGUAAUGGCUCACCAAGGCGACGAUCCGUAACUGGUCUGAGAGGAUGAUCAGUCACACUGGAACUGAGACACGGUCCAGACUCCUACGGGAGGCAGCAGUGGGGAAUAUUGGACGAUGGGCGAAAGCCUGAUCCAGCCAUGCCGCGUGUGUGAAGAAGGUCUUCGGAUUGUAAAGCACUUUAAGUUGGGAGGAAGGGCAGUAAGUUAAUACCUUGCUGUUUUGACGUUACCGACAGAAUAAGCACCGGCUAACUCUGUGCCAGCCGCCG